rnacentral:rRNA from 2 species
AGACCCGAAACCCGGUGAUCUAGCCAUGGGCAGGUUGAAGGUUGGGUAACACUAACUGGAGGACCGAACCGACUAAUGUUGAAAAAUUAGCGGAUGACCUGUGGCUGGGGGUGAAAGGCCAAUCAAACCGGGAGAUAGCUGGUUCUCCCCGAAAGCUAUUUAGGUAGCGCCUCGUGAAUUCAUCUCCGGGGGUAGAGCACUGUUUCGGCUAGGGGGCCAUCCCGGCUUACCAACCCGAUGCAAACUGCGAAUACCGGAGAAUGUUAUCACGGGAGACACACGGCGGGUGCUAACGUCCGUCGUGAAGAGGGAAACAACCCAGACCGCCAGCUAAGGUCCCAAAGUCAUGGUUAAGUGGGAAACGAUGUGGGAAGGCCCAGACAGCCAGGAUGUUGGCUUAGAAGCAGCCAUCAUUUAAAGAAAGCGUAAUAGCUCACUGGUCGAGUCGGCCUGCGCGGAAGAUGUAACGGGGCUAAACCAUGCACCGAAGCUGCGGCAGCGACGCUUAUGCGUUGUUGGGUAGGGGAGCGUUCUGUAAGCCUGUGAAGGUGGCCUGUGAGGGUUGCUGGAGGUAUCAGAAGUGC